CCAAAGUAUCACACUUAUUUCAAACAUAACAUUGCAAACAAAGCAUUAACCAACAUUAACAUGAAGUUUACCGCCGCUGCUCAACUUAUUACCAUUGGUGCCACAAUUGCUGGUUCAGUUUCUGCUGAAAAUCUUCGCAAAG
rnacentral:rRNA from 11 species